AGUGAACGCUAGCGAUAUGCUUUAACACAUGGCGAGUGCGGGACGUUAUUUGACGUAGCGUACAGGUGAGGAAGCUGUGGGUUACCUCCUUAAAAACUUUGGUACUGAAUGGAAAAAAAUUUAUUUUUUUCCAAAAAUAGUUUUAUUUUAAAAUGCCAAAUAAAAAGAUAUGUUCGGUUUUUGUAAGGGGCUCAUGGAGGAUUAGGUUGUUGGGUUGGGUAAGAGCCGUCCAAGCCGAUGAUCCUUGGCCGGUCUGGGAGGAUGGUCGGUCACACCGGGACUGUAAAAGGCCCGGACUUUUUUUAAAGGCUGCAGUUGAGGAAUAUUGGACAAUGGGCAAAAGCUUGAUCCAGCAAUAUCGCGUAGGUGAAGAAGGUCAAUUGGUUGUUAAAGCCUUUCGUAUGGUGAGAAUAAUGUUAGUAGCCAUAUAAGAAGUUCCUGGCUAACUUCGUGCCAGCCGCCGCGGUAAAAC
rnacentral:rRNA from 1 species